UACGUAGGGUGCGAGCGUUGUUCGGAAUUACUGGGCGUAAAGCGCACGUAGGCGGGUUGUUAAGUCAGGGGUGAAAUCCUGGAGCUCAACUCCAGAACUGCCUUUGAUACUGAAGAUCUUGAGUUCGGGAGAGGUGAGUGGAACUGCGAGUGUAGAGGUGAAAUUCGUAGAUAUUCGCAAGAACACCAGUGGCGAAGGCGGCUUACUGGUCCGGUUCUGACGCUGAGGCGACGAAAGCGGUGGGGAGCAAACAGG
rnacentral:rRNA from 1 species